ensembl:miRNA MIR9790 microRNA mir-9790
UGGCUUCUCUGGAUAGUUCUCACUCUCACGCCCCUGACUACUGCUUCUAAAAUCCAAAGUGGACAAAGAAUGAGGUCGGACACUGCACAGACCU